GUUUUUGCAGUUGAACAAUGGUUUUUCAUACCAUAGAUUAUGGUUUAAAUCCAUACUAAAAUC
rnacentral:tRNA from 1 species